CCUCAAGAAGAAAACCCACCAAAGUUCAUUUUUCCUUCAUCGAAUCUUCACUGAUCCUCCACCAAAUCACACCAAAAUUUCACCAUACAUAGCUAAUCACUUGGAGACUGCACUAUGCUAAGAAAAAGGGGCUGUUUUCACGGUUUUCUUGGGCCAAGGAGGGACCGAAAAUUUCUGCUUUGGACACCAAAUGAAGCGCUCAAGGGGACCUUCAAGAGGAUCUCACGGGAGAUGCUUAAAACAAUCGGUUGUACUUGUUUCGUGAACCACUUGGGUUCGAGACCAAGAGUACUCGUGAAUAGUACUAGAUUGU